AUUGAACGCUGGCGGCAUGCCUUACACAUGCAAGUCGAACGGUAACGGGUCCUUCGGGAUGCCGACGAGUGGCGAACGGGUGAGUAAUAUAUCGGAACGUGCCCAGUAGUGGGGGAUAACUGCUCGAAAGAGCAGCUAAUACCGCAUACGACCUGAGGGUGAAAGGGGGGGAUCGCAAGACCUCUCGCUAUUGGAGCGGCCGAUAUCAGAUUAGCUAGUUGGUGGGGUAAAGGCCUACCAAGGCAACGAUCUGUAGUUGGUCUGAGAGGACGACCAGCCACACUGGGACUGAGACACGGCCCAGACUCCUACGGGAGGCAGCAGUGGGGAAUUUUGGACAAUGGGCGCAAGCCUGAUCCAGCAAUGCCGCGUGCAGGAAGAAGGCCUUCGGGUUGUAAACUGCUUUUGUCAGGGAAGAAAUCUUCUGGGCUAAUACCCCGGGAGGAUGACGGUACCUGAAGAAUAAGCACCGGCUAACUACGUGCCAGCAGCCGCGGUAAUACGUAGGGUGCGAGCGUUAAUCGGAAUUACUGGGCGUAAAGCGUGCGCAGGCGGCUUUGCAAGACAGAUGUGAAAUCCCCGGGCUCAACCUGNGAACUGCAUUUGUGACUGCAAGGCUAGAGUACGGCAGAGGGGGAUGGAAUUCCGCGUGUAGCAGUGAAAUGCGUAGAUAUGCGGAGGAACACCAAUGGCGAAGGCAAUCCCCUGGGCCUGUACUGACGCUCAUGCACGAAAGCGUGGGGAGCAAACAGGAUUAGAUACCCUGGUAGUCCACGCCCUAAACGAUGUCAACUGGUUGUUGGACGGCUUGCUGUUCAGUAACGAAGCUAACGCGUGAAGUUGACCGCCUGGGGAGUACGGCCGCAAGGUUGGAACUCAAAGGAAUUGACGGGGACCCGCACAAGCGGUGGAUGAUGUGGUUUAAUUCGAUGCAACGCGAAAAACCUUACCUACCCUUGACAUGUCAAGAAUUCUGCAGAGAUGUGGAAGUGCUCGAAAGAGAACUUGAACACAGGUGCUGCAUGGCCGUCGUCAGCUCGUGUCGUGAGAUGUUGGGUUAAGUCCCGCAACGAGCGCAACCCUUGUCAUUAGUUGCUACGCAAGAGCACUCUAAUGAGACUGCCGGUGACAAACCGGAGGAAGGUGGGGAUGACGUCAGGUCCUCAUGGCCCUUAUGGGUAGGGCUACACACGUCAUACAAUGGCCGGUACAGAGGGCUGCCAACCCGCGAGGGGGAGCCAAUCCCAGAAAACCGGUCGUAGUCCGGAUCGUAGUCUGCAACUCGACUGCGUGAAGUCGGAAUCGCUAGUAAUCGCGGAUCAGCUUGCCGCGGUGAAUACGUUCCCGGGUCU
rnacentral:rRNA from 1 species